rnacentral:rRNA from 1 species
UACAGAGGUCUCAAGCGUUGUUCGGAUUCAUUGGGCGUAAAGGGUGCGUAGGUGGCGCUGUAAGUCGGGUGUGAAAUUUCGGAGCUUAACUCCGAAACUGCAUUCGAUACUGCGGUGCUUGAGGACUGGAGAGGAGACUGGAAUUCAUGGUGUAGCAGUGAAAUGCGUAGAUAUCAGGAGGAACACCGGUGGCGAAGGCGGGUCUCUGGGCCGAUACUGACGCUGAGGAGCGAAAGCGUGGGGAGCGAACAGG